AGCGUACACGGUGGAUGCCCUGGCAGUCAGAGGCGAUGAAGGACGUGCUAAUCUGCGAAAAGCGUCGGUAAGGUGAUAUGAACCGUUAUAACCGGCGAUGUCCGAAUGGGGAAACCCAGUGCAAUUCGUUGCACUAUCGUUAACUGAAUACAUAGGUUAACGAGGCGAACCGGGGGAACUGAAACAUCUAAGUACCCCGAGGAAAAGAAAUCAACCGAGAUUCCCCCAGUAGCGGCGAGCGAACGGGGAGCAGCCCAGAGUCUGAAUCAGCUUGUGUGUUAGUGGAACGGUCUGGAAAGUCCGACGGUACAGGGUGAUAGUCCCGUACACCAAAAUGCACAGGUUGUGAACUCGAAGAGUAGGGCGGGACACGUGGUAUCCUGUCUGAAUAUGGGGGGACCAUCCUCCAAGGCUAAAUACUCCUGACUGACCGAUAGUGAACCAGUACCGUGAGGGAAAGGCGAAAAGAACCCCGGCGAGGGGAGUGAAAAAGAACCUGAAACCGUGUACGUACAAGCAGUGGGAGCACCUUCGGGUGUGACUGCGUACCUUUUGUAUAAUGGGUCAGCGACUUAUAUUCUGUAGCAAGGUUAACCGUAUAGGGGAGCCGCAGGGAAACCGAGUCUUAACUGGGCGUUAAGUUGCAGGGUAUAGACCCGAAACCCGGUGAUCUAGCCAUGGGCAGGUUGAAGGUUGGGUAACACUAACUGGAGGACCGAACCGACUAAUGUUGAAAAAUUAGCGGAUGACUUGUGGCUGGGGGUGAAAGGCCAAUCAAACCGGGAGAUAGCUGGUUCUCCCCGAAAGCUAUUUAGGUAGCGCCUCGUGAACUCAUCUUCGGGGGUAGAGCACUGUUUCGGCUAGGGGGUCAUCCCGACUUACCAACCCGAUGCAAACUACGAAUACCGAAGAAUGUUAUCACGGGAGACACACGGCGGGUGCUAACGUCCGUCGUGAAGAGGGAAACAACCCAGACCGCCAGCUAAGGUCCCAAAGUCAUGGUUAAGUGGGAAACGAUGUGGGAAGGCACAGACAGCCAGGAUGUUGGCUUAGAAGCAGCCAUCAUUUAAAGAAAGCGUAAUAGCUCACUGGUCGAGUCGGCCUGCGCGGAAGAUGUAACGGGGCUAAACCAUGCACCGAAGCUGCGGCAGCGACACUAUGUGUUGUUGGGUAGGGGAGCGUUCUGUAAGCCUGCGAAGGUGUGCUGUGAGGCAUGCUGGAGGUAUCAGAAGUGCGAAUGCUGACAUAAGUAACGAUAAAGCGGGUGAAAAGCCCGCUCGCCGGAAGACCAAGGGUUCCUGUCCAACGUUAAUCGGGGCAGGGUGAGUCGACCCCUAAGGCGAGGCCGAAAGGCGUAGUCGAUGGGAAACAGGUUAAUAUUCCUGUACUUGGUGUUACUGCGAAGGGGGGACGGAGAAGGCUAUGUUAGCCGGGCGACGGUUGUCCCGGUUUAAGCAUGUAGGCUGGUUAUCCAGGCAAAUCCGGAUAAUCAAGGCUGAGGUGUGAUGACGAGGCACUACGGUGCUGAAGUAACAAAUGCCCUGCUUCCAGGAAAAGCCUCUAAGCAUCAGGUAACAUCAAAUCGUACCCCAAACCGACACAGGUGGUCAGGUAGAGAAUACCAAGGCGCUUGAGAGAACUCGGGUGAAGGAACUAGGCAAAAUGGUGCCGUAACUUCGGGAGAAGGCACGCUGGUGUGUAGGUGAAGCCCCUGCGGGUGGAGCUGAGACCAGUCGAAGAUACCAGCUGGCUGCAACUGUUUAUUAAAAACACAGCACUGUGCAAACACGAAAGUGGACGUAUACGGUGUGACGCCUGCCCGGUGCCGGAAGGUUAAUUGAUGGGGUUAUCCGUAAGGAGAAGCUCUUGAUCGAAGCCCCGGUAAACGGCGGCCGUAACUAUAACGGUCCUAAGGUAGCGAAAUUCCUUGUCGGGUAAGUUCCGACCUGCACGAAUGGCGUAAUGAUGGCCAGGCUGUCUCCACCCGAGACUCAGUGAAAUUGAACUCGCUGUGAAGAUGCAGUGUACCCGCGGCAAGACGGAAAGACCCCGUGAACCUUUACUAUAGCUUGACACUGAACAUUGAGCCUUGAUGUGUAGGAUAGGUGGGAGGCUUUGAAGCGUGGACGCCAGUCUGCGUGGAGCCAACCUUGAAAUACCACCCUUUAAUGUUUGAUGUUCUAACGUUGGCCCCUUACCGGGGUUGCGGACAGUGUCUGGUGGGUAGUUUGACUGGGGCGGUCUCCUCCCAAAGCGUAACGGAGGAGCACGAAGGUUAGCUAAUCCUGGUCGGACAUCAGGAGGUUAGUGCAAUGGCAUAAGCUAGCUUGACUGCGAGCGUGACGGCGCGAGCAGGUGCGAAAGCAGGUCAUAGUGAUCCGGUGGUUCUGAAUGGAAGGGCCAUCGCUCAACGGAUAAAAGGUACUCCGGGGAUAACAGGCUGAUACCGCCCAAGAGUUCAUAUCGACGGCGGUGUUUGGCACCUCGAUGUCGGCUCAUCACAUCCUGGGGCUGAAGUAGGUCCCAAGGGUAUGGCUGUUCGCCAUUUAAAGUGGUACGCGAGCUGGGUUUAGAACGUCGUGAGACAGUUCGGUCCCUAUCUGCCGUGGGCGCUGGAGAAUUGAGGGGGGCUGCUCCUAGUACGAGAGGACCGGAGUGGACGCAUCACUGGUGUUCGGGUUGUCAUGCCAAUGGCACUGCCCGGUAGCUAAAUGCGGAAGAGAUAAGUGCUGAAAGCAUCUAAGCACGAAACUUGCCCCGAGAUGAGUUCU
rnacentral:rRNA from 1 species